CCCUUAGAUGUUCUGGGCCGCACGCGCGCUACACUGAUGCAUUCAACGAGUUUCUUCCUGGUCCGAGAGGAAUGGGUAACCUUUUGAAAGUGCAUCGUGAUAGGGAUAGACUAUUGCAAUUAUUGGUCUUCAACGAGGAAUUCCUAGUAGACGUAGUUCAUCCGACUGCAUCGAUUACGUCCCUGCCCUUUGUACACACCGCCCGUCGCUCCUACCGAUUGAAUGCUCAGGUGAGCCAUUCGGACUUUCAUCAUGCUGGUUUCCAGUUUUGAUGAAGGAAAGUCUUGCGAACCUUAUCAUUUAGAGGAAGGAGAAGUCGUAACA
rnacentral:rRNA from 1 species